rnacentral:rRNA from 1 species
AUUGAACGCUGGCGGCAGGCCUAACACAUGCACGUCGAGCGCGCGGCGGACGGGUGAGUAAUGUAUGGGGACUGCCCGAUAGAGGGGGAUAACUAAUGGAAACGGUGGCUAAUACCGCAUACUAUCGGAUAACCCAUAUGGGAUUAGCUAGUAGGUGGGGUCAAGGCUCACCUAGGCGACGAUCUCUAGCUGGUCUGAGAGGAUGAUCAGCCAAAAUGGAACUGAGACACGGCCCAGACUCCUACGGAGGCAGCAGUGGGGAAUAUUGCACAAUGGGCGCAAGCCUGAUGCAGCCAUGCCGCGUGUAUGAAGAAGGUCUUAGGGUUGUAAAGUACUUUCAGCGGGGAGGCGUUGCCAACAGGAGAAGCACCGGCUGACUCCGGGCCAGCAGCCGCGGUAAUUC